ACCCGUGUAUCAGCCUGAUUCAAUAUUGUCGGGCAACCUUCGUCUGAUCCCAUUUCUCUUCAUUCGUUACGCGCUCGUUCGUGUUCCGCUUUAUUAUCUCCCGACACUUUCACGCCUUUGUUACCGAACGACGUGUUUACGAUUCCAUAAAUCGCAUAUUUCCCUCGGCUGUUGUUCCUUCGACCCGACGCUUGCCUCUAAUGACGAUGUCAUUCUGGUAUCGCCGAGUCUCCGGUAUGUAAAUGAGAACGCUUUCACCGGUAUUAACCUUCGCGAAAAAAGAAGUCAGCCCACUCGAAUUCAGAGCCGAACUCAAUGAAAUUUUACAUGAUUUCGGAGAUUCCAGCCGCAUAUUUACGUACAAGAUGUUUGAUAGGGACGUCUACCAGGGAUGUGCAAGUACAGUCGCGGACAUACAGCGUGUCUUGUUUAAGCCAUUUGGCAGUGAUAAAUGAGUGAGGCGUCUAAAUUAGAUACGAAGAUAGUAAAUAGAUGCUCACAAUAACAAAAUACAAGCUGACAUACGCGACAAGCAUGUCUAUUGAAGAGGCAAUAAUCAUUUUCAAAGCACUGAAACUCUGCAAAGACCAACUAAAUGAAAAGUACACCAUUCUCACAGAUCCUCCCUACGUUAUAACAGCAACACAAAACUACAGACCGAAAACGAAAUAAUCUUAAACAAACAAGAUAUAUACAUAGAGAGAGAGAGAGAGAGAGAGAGAGAGAGAGAUAUGGAUAAGAAAAGAUUUAUAACCACUGAGACCCCUUCCGCUAUAACACAGCAGGAAAAGGAGAAGCGGACGAAGCAGCCAGAGAGAAACUAUCCUACUGCCUCCUAAGAAUGAAAUCAACAUACUAUCCCAGAAUAUCGAGGAAGCUAUCAGCUGCAAAACAGUAGAGGAAUGGCAAAAAGAAUGGACCGCUAUAAACUUCGCGAAACCAUACAAAAUAAUAGUGUACCGUUGCAGGUUUUUAUCUGACCAACCUACAAGUAAAGCUAUUCAAGUUACUCAAACUAUUCAGAGAUAAUCGGUCGUGCAAGACGGACGUACAAAUUCCUUCUGCAAAAUAAAAUUCACCUCAAUAUGAA